rnacentral:rRNA from 1 species
GUGAAACCGCGAACGGCUCAUUAAACCGCUAUAAUCUACUUGAUCUUGACAUAUAUCUACUUGGAUAACUGUGGUAAUUCUAGAGCUAAUACAUGCACAAAUUCUCUGACCUUGCGGGAAGAGCGCAUUUAUUAGAGCAAAACCAGGCGGCUUCGGUCGUUUUUUGCUGACUCAGAAUAACUCAGCUGAUCGCACGGUCUCGUACCGGCGACGUGUCUUUUGAGUAUCUGCUUUAUCAAUUUUCGAUGGUAGUGUAUCUGACUACCAUGGUUUUGACGGGUAACGGAGAAUCAGGGUUCGACUCCGGAGAAGGGGCCUGAGAAAUGGCCACUACGUCUAAGGAUGGCAGCAGGCGCGCAAAUUACCCACUCUCGGAAUGAGGAGGUAGUGACGAGAAAUAACGAGACCGUUCUCUUUGAGGCCGGUUAUCGGAAUGGGUACAAUUUAAACCCUUUAACGAGUAUCUAUGAGAGGGCAAGUCUGGUGCCAGCAGCCGCGGUAAUUCCAGCUCUCAAAAUGCAUAGAACCAUUGCUGCGGUUAAAAAGCUCGUAGUUGAAUCUAUGCCUGAGGCUUGGUCCACUCUUUGAGUGCGUACUAGGUUCUUUGGCUUUUCGUCGGUUUUCUUGUCGUGGCCUUUAUUGGUGGCGGCAAGUGGCUGACAAUUUUACUUUGAACAAAUCAGAGUGCUUAAAACAGGCGUCUCGCUUGUAUGCUUUUGCAUAGAAUAAUGGAACACGACUUCGGUCUAGUUUUAUUGGUUUUAUAGAUCGUUGUAAUGAUUAAAAGAGACAAACGGGGGCAUUCGUAUUGUUGCGUGAGAGGUGAAAUNNNNNNNNNNNNNNNNNNNNNNNNNNNNNNNNNGCAUUUGCCAAGCUUGUCUUCAUUAAUCAAGAACGAAAGUCAGAGGAUCGAAGGUGAUCAGAUACCGCCCUAGUUCUGACCGUAAACGAUGCCAACUAGCGAUUCGCCGGCGGAUUAUUUGCCCUGGCGAGGAGCUUCCCGGAAACGAAAGUCUUCCGGUUCCGGGGGAAGUAUGGUUGCAAAGCUGAAACUUAAAGGAAUUGACGGAAGGGCACCACCAGGAGUGGAGCCUGCGGCUUAAUUUGACUCAACACGGGAAAACUCACCCGGCCCGGACACUAUAAGGAUUGACAGAUUGAUAGCUCUUUCAUGAUUUGGUGGAUGGUGGUGCAUGGCCGUUCUUAGUUCGUGGAGUGAUUUGUCUGGUUUAUUCCGAUAACGAGCGAGACUCUAGCCUACUAAAUAGUCUGCCCAUUGCUAUUGUGCGGCAGUACUUCCUAGAGGAAUUUUCGGUGUUUAACCGCAUGAAAUUGAGCAAUAACAGGUCUGUGAUGCCCUUAGAUGUCCGGGGCUGCACGCGCGCUACACUGGUAAAGUCAGCGUGCAUCUCCUCUCUCGAAAGAGAUUGGUAAACCAGUGAACGUUUGCCGUGAUAGGGAUCGGAAAUUGCAAUUAUUUUCUGUGAACGAGGAAUUCCAAGUAAAUGUGAGUCAUCAACUCGCGUUGAUUACGUCCCUGCCCUUUGUACACACCGCCCGUCGCUGCCCGGGACUGAGCCAUUUCGAGAAAAUUGGGGAUUGCUGACUGACGGUUCUUCGGGAUUGUCUUUUGG